rnacentral:ncRNA from 1 species
CCAAUCCUGUCCGGCAAGGUCUAGUUAAUCAUCGGACGCAAGUCUUGCGUAGUUACCAGAAAUGUUGGCACGAAGCAUAGACAGCGACUGCUGAAGGUAUGCCAUUGAGCCUCGAAACUGUCCUGGACGUUGAAGCUUUAGUUGUUCAAAAGCUAAAGUAACAUCAAACCCGCAUUACUGAAGAGUGGGGACGAUUCGACCGGGGGCUAAGAACA